CNGUAAACGAUGAAUGCUAGCUGUUAGCGAUAUACUGUUAGCGGCACAGAGAANUCGUUAAGCNUUCCACCUGGGGAGUACGCCGGCAACGGUGAAACUCAAAGGAAUUGACGGGGGCCCGCACAAGCGGAGGAACAUGUGGGUUAAUUCGAUGAUACGCGAGGAACCUUACCUGGGCUUAAAUUGCAGUGGAAUAACGUGGAAACAUGUUAGCCUUCGGGCCGCUGUGAAGGUGCUGCAUGGUUGUCGUCAGCUCGUGCCGUGAGGUGUCGGCUUAAGUGCCAUAACGAGCGCAACCCUCAUCGAUAGUUACUAACAGGUUAAGCUGAGGACUCUAUCGAGACUGCCGACGUAAGUCGUGAGGAAGGUGGGGAUGACGUCAAAUCAGCACGGNCCUUACGUCCAGGGCUACACACGUGUUACAAUGGGGGGUACAAAGGGCAGCUACCUGGCGACAGGAUGCUAAUCUCAAAAACCUCUCUCAGUUCGGAUUGGAGUCUGCAACCCGACUCCAUGAAGCUGGAUUCGCUAGUAAUCGCGCACCAGCCACGGCGCGGUGAAUACGUUCCCGGGCCUUGUACACACCGCCCGUCAAGCCAUGGGAGCCGGGGGGACCUGAAGUAUGCAACCGUAAGGAGCGUCCUAGGGUAAAACUGGUGGCUGGGGCU
rnacentral:rRNA from 1 species